GGGUUGUGAGGUUAAGCGACUAAGCGUACACGGUGGAUGCCCUGGCAGUCAGAGGCGAUGAAGGACGUGCUAAUCUGCGAUAAGCGCCGGUAAGGUGAUAUGAACCGUUAUAACCGGCGAUUUCCGAAUGGGGAAACCCAGUGUGACUCGUCACACUAUCAUUAACUGAAUCCAUAGGUUAAUGAGGCGAACCGGGGGAACUGAAACAUCUAAGUACCCCGAGGAAAAGAAAUCAACCGAGAUUCCCCCAGUAGCGGCGAGCGAACGGGGAGGAGCCCAGAGCCUGAAUCAGCAUGUGUGUUAGUGGAAGCGUCUGGAAAGGCGCGCGAUACAGGGUGACAGCCCCGUACACAAAAGCGCAUGUGCUGUGAGCUCGAUGAGUAGGGCGGGACACGUGGUAUCCUGUCUGAAUAUGGGGGGACCAUCCUCCAAGGCUAAAUACUCCUGACUGACCGAUAGUGAACCAGUACCGUGAGGGAAAGGCGAAAAGAACCCCGGCGAGGGGAGUGAAAAAGAACCUGAAACCGUGUACGUACAAGCAGUGGGAGCACCCUUUGGGGUGUGACUGCGUACCUUUUGUAUAAUGGGUCAGCGACUUAUAUUCUGUAGCAAGGUUAACCGAAUAGGGGAGCCGGAGGGAAACCGAGUCUUAAUUGGGCGUUAAGUUGCAGGGUAUAGACCCGAAACCCGGUGAUCUAGCCAUGGGCAGGUUGAAGGUUGGGUAACACUAACUGGAGGACCGAACCGACUAAUGUUGAAAAAUUAGCGGAUGACCUGUGGCUGGGGGUGAAAGGCCAAUCAAACCGGGAGAUAGCUGGUUCUCCCCGAAAGCUAUUUAGGUAGCGCCUCGUGAAUUCAUCUCCGGGGGUAGAGCACUGUUUCGGCUAGGGGGCCAUCCCGGCUUACCAACCCGAUGCAAACUGCGAAUACCGGAGAAUGUUAUCACGGGAGACACACGGCGGGUGCUAACGUCCGUCGUGAAGAGGGAAACAACCCAGACCGCCAGCUAAGGUCCCAAAGUCAUGGUUAAGUGGGAAACGAUGUGGGAAGGCCCAGACAGCCAGGAUGUUGGCUUAGAAGCAGCCAUCAUUUAAAGAAAGCGUAAUAGCUCACUGGUCGAGUCGGCCUGCGCGGAAGAUGUAACGGGGCUAAACCAUGCACCGAAGCUGCGGCAGCGACGCUGAUGCGUUGUUGGGUAGGGGAGCGUUCUGUAAGCCUGCGAAGGUGGCCUGUGAGGGUUGCUGGAGGUAUCAGAAGUGCGAAUGCUGACAUAAGUAACGAUAAAGCGGGUGAAAAGCCCGCUCGCCGGAAGACCAAGGGUUCCUGUCCAACGUUAAUCGGGGCAGGGUGAGUCGACCCCUAAGGCGAGGCCGAAAGGCGUAGUCGAUGGGAAACGGGUUAAUAUUCCCGUACUUGGUGUUACUGCGAAGGGGGGACGGAGAAGGCUAUGUUGGCCGGGCGACGGUUGUCCCGGUUUAAGCGUGUAGGUGUGUGUUCCAGGUAAAUCCGGUUCACUUUAACACUGAGGCGUGAUGACGAGGCACUACGGUGCUGAAGCAACAAAUGCCCUGCUUCCGGGAAAGCCUCUAAGCAUCAGGUAACAUCAAAUCGUACCCCAAACCGACACAGGUGGUCAGGUAGAGAAUACCAAGGCGCUUGAGAGAACUCGGGUGAAGGAACUAGGCAAAAUGGUGCCGUAACUUCGGGAGAAGGCACGCUGACACGUAGGUGAAGUGAUUUACUCAUGGAGCUGAAGUCAGUCGAAGAUACCAGCUGGCUGCAACUGUUUAUUAAAACACAGCACUGUGCAAACACGAAAGUGGACGUAUACGGUGUGACGCCUGCCCGGUGCCGGAAGGUUAAUUGAUGGGGUCAGCGCAAGCGAAGCUCCUGAUCGAAGCCCCGGUAAACGGCGGCCGUAACUAUAACGGUCCUAAGGUAGCGAAAUUCCUUGUCGGGUAAGUUCCGACCUGCACGAAUGGCGUAAUGAUGGCCAGGCUGUCUCCACCCGAGACUCAGUGAAAUUGAACUCGCUGUGAAGAUGCAGUGUACCCGCGGCAAGACGGAAAGACCCCGUGAACCUUUACUAUAGCUUGACACUGAACAUUGAGCCUUGAUGUGUAGGAUAGGUGGGAGGCUUUGAAGUGUGGACGCCAGUCUGCAUGGAGCCGACCUUGAAAUACCACCCUUUAAUGUUUGAUGUUCUAACGUGGACCCGUUACCCGGGUUGCGGACAGUGUCUGGUGGGUAGUUUGACUGGGGCGGUCUCCUCCUAAAGAGUAACGGAGGAGCACGAAGGUUGGCUAAUCCUGGUCGGACAUCAGGAGGUUAGUGCAAUGGCAUAAGCCAGCUUGACUGCGAGCGUGACGGCGCGAGCAGGUGCGAAAGCAGGUCAUAGUGAUCCGGUGGUUCUGAAUGGAAGGGCCAUCGCUCAACGGAUAAAAGGUACUCCGGGAUAACAGGCUGAUACCGCCCAAGAGUUCAUAUCGACGGCGGUGUUUGGCACCUCGAUGUCGGCUCAUCACAUCCUGGGGCUGAAGUAGGUCCCAAGGGUAUGGCUGUUCGCCAUUUAAAGUGGUACGCGAGCUGGGUUUAGAACGUCGUGAGACAGUUCGGUCCCUAUCUGCCGUGGGCGCUGGAGAACUGAGGGGGGCUGCUCCUAGUACGAGAGGACCGGAGUGGACGCAUCACUGGUGUUCGGGUUGUCAUGCCAAUGGCACUGCCCGGUAGCUAAAUGCGGAAGAGAUAAGUGCUGAAAGCAUCUAAGCACGAAACUUGCCCCGAGAUGAGUUCUCCCUGAGACUUAAAGUCUCCUGAAGGAACGUUGAAGACGACGACGUUGAUAGGCCGGGUGUGUAAGCGCAGCGAUGCGUUGAGCUAACCGGUACUAAUGAACCGUGAGGCUUAACCUUACAACGCCGAAG
rnacentral:rRNA from 1 species